rnacentral:rRNA from 1 species
CCCUUAGAUGUCCUGGGCCGCACGCGCGCUACACUGAUGCAUGCAACGAGUUUAUAACCUUGGCCUGAAAGGUCUGGGUAAUCUUUUGAACGUGCAUCGUGAUAGGGAUAGAUUAUUGAAAUUAUUAAUCUUGAACGAGGAAUUCCUAGUAAACGCAGAUCACCAAUCUGCAUUGAUUACGUCCCUGCCCUUUGUACACACCGCCCGUCGCACCUACCGAUUGGAUGGUCCGGUGAAGCCUCGGGAUUGUGGUUCUUGCCGCUUUAUUGUGGCGUGACCGCGAGAACUUGUCUAAACCUUAUCAUCUAGAGGAAGGUGAAGUCGUAACA